GCAGUUUCCUGAUAAGUGUGUUUCCGGCUUUUGAAGUUAUGUCUGCCGAAAACCACAUCUGGUUCACCGCCGCCUCAACAGACACACAAUGAAAUACAAAAGGCUAAUUCUGCUGUGUACGCAAUCCAUGUUUCUUUCCCCAGAGGAUUCCAGAUGGAGUGAACUCAGUAGAGGCGGUGCUUCGACGGCUGAUGAUCUUGCGGAGAGGAGAGAGGAGCAUUAGUUACGGUUUUAAGUCCCGGCUGAACUGGCAGGGGUUACAUGACCUCAGACUCAGGGGUAAGUGCGCAAGCUCUCGCCCCUGGAAGGGCUGUGAUGCCUUUCAACAGCCACACCUCUCCGUUGAACCCAUCAACACCCUUUGUGCAGAGCCUUGUUAAGGAUGUGCAUGCUUCUCCUUUGCCUUCCACCGUGAUUGUAAGUUUCCUGAGGCCUUCCCAGCAAUGCAGAACCGGCUCACCGGCAGCUGUUCUCCCCAUCCGUGUGCAGGGACGUCUCGGCCCGUCGAAGACCCAGGCGGGCAAAGGAGUGGUACAAGCCAGGUUUGGGCACCAUGUGAUAAGAUGACCUGCAGGUCUGGCCUUGGAUUUCUGCAGAGGUUUGUUGGGAAGGCAUCACUUAGGAGGCUGGCAGACCAUGAGAAAGUCUCACCUGGAAGCGGUGGAAGUCCUGCGGCUUGAAGUCAUUGGGGGAGCAGCCGCACCAGUCCACGAUGUGCUUGUACUGGCACUUGCAGCCCAGCUUGCGAUUCCAGUUGGUGAUGCGCAGGUUGUUGUCCACCAUGGUGUCGCAGUGGGGGCUGUUCUCCAGGACCGUAUGGAAGAAGGACUGCAGGGGAGAGAGGGACCCAGCCUGAGACCUCUCCCAGCCUCCCACAGAUGAACUGGGGUGGGAAAUGGUGAACCCUUGCUCUGAGUUCAUGUAAGAACUGGUUGUUUAAAAGAAUGUGGCAUCUCAUCAGAAGCUGGGCGGCUUCCUGUACAGCUUGCAGAACUGCAAGCCAAAUAAACCUCUUUUCUUUAUAAAUUACCAAGCCUCAGAUUUUCCUUCAUAGCAAUGCAAAAAUGUAUAACACAACUACCUGACUGUCAAGGGACUCUUAUGUUCUCUGCAUGCAUUUGAGGUCAGCUGCCCAUGUGGUCCAACUCAGAGCGCAGGCGGAUGCUCUGUCCAACAGACAAAUCAAAGGGAUUCAAGUCUGACUGACUGACUGGUGUGCUGGAAUUUCACCCCUGGGGUAGGGAGACCAGAUUGAUGGUUGCAUUAGACCCAG
rnacentral:lncRNA from 1 species